UACGAAGGGUGCAAGCGUUAAUCGGAAUUACUGGGCGUAAAGCGUGCGUAGGUGGUUGUUUAAGUCUGUCGUGAAAGCCCUGGGCUCAACCUGGGAAUGGCGAUGGAUACUGGGCAGCUAGAGUGCGGUAGAGGAUGGCGGAAUUCCCGGUGUAGCGGUGAAAUGCGUAGAGAUCGGGAGGAACAUCUGUGGCGAAGGCGGCCAUCUGGACCAGCACUGACACUGAGGCACGAAAGCGUGGGGAGCAAACAGGAUUAGAUACCCUGGUAGUCCACGCCCUAAACGAUGCGAACUGGAUGUUGGUCUCAACUCGGAGAUCAGUGUCGAAGCUAACGCGUUAAGUUCGCCGCCUGGGGAGUACGCUCGCAAGAGUGAA
rnacentral:rRNA from 1 species